rnacentral:rRNA from 1 species
AGUCACUGCUAUUGGGGUUCGGCUAAGCCAUGCGAGCGGAGGGCGCGGUCGAAAGAUCGUGGCCCCGCACACGGCUCAGCAACACGUAGUCAACCUACCCUUGGGACGGGGACAACCUCGGGAAACUGAGGCUAAUCCCCGAUAGGCGAGGGACGCUGGGAUGCCCCCUCGCCCAAAGCUCCGGUGCCCAAGGAUGGGACUGCGGCCUAUCAGGCUGUUGGUGGUGUAACGGACCACCAAACCUACGACGGGUACGGGCGAUGGGAGUCGGAGCCCGGAGGUGGGGACUGAGACAAGGCCCCAGGCCCUACGGGGCGCAGCAGGCGCGAAAACUCCGCAAUGCGCGCAAGCGUGACGGGGGGACCCCAAGUGCCGUUGGUCUUUUGAUCGACGGCUUUUCGGAAGUCUAAGAAGCUUCCGGAAUAAGGGCUGGGUAAGGCUGGUGCCAGCCGCCGCGGUAACACCAGCAGCCCAAGUGGUGACCACGAUUAUUGGGCCUAAAGCGCUCGUAGCCGGGCCAGCAAGUCCCUUGUGAAAUCGGGCCGCCCAACGGUUCGGCGUGCAAGGGAUACUGUUGGUCUUGAGGCCGGGAGAGGUCGGAGGUACUCCUGGGGUAGCGGUGGAAUGCUCUAAUCCUGGGGGGACCACCAGUGGCGAAGGCGUCCGACCAGAACGGACCUGACGGUGAGGGGCGAAGGCUAGGGGAGCGAACGGGAUUAGAUACCCCGGUAGUCCUAGCUGUAAAGCAUGCGGGCCAGGUGUCUAGCGCUCCUCGAGGGCGCUAGGUGCCGGAGGGAAGCCGUUAAGCCCGCCGCCUGGGAAGUACGGCCGCAAGGCUGAAACUUAAAGAAAUUGGCGGGGGAGCACCACAAGGGGUGGAACCUGCGGUUC